UACCCGGUACAUACAACCGACCUGGCC
rnacentral:sRNA from 1 species